AUGAAUACUAGGUGUCGGCGCCCAAAGGGAGUCGGUGCCGUCGCAAACGCAGUAAGUAUUCCACCUGGGGAGUACGUUCGCAAGAAUGAAACUCAAAGGAAUUGACGGGGACCCGCACAAGCAGUGGAGCAUGUGGUUUAAUUCGAAGCAACGCGAAGAACCUUACCAAGUCUUGACAUCCCGCGGACGAUCCCGCAACGGGGAUUUCUCUUCGGAGCAGCGGAGACAGGUGGUGCAUGGCUGUCGUCAG
rnacentral:rRNA from 1 species